GUACACGCUGUGACUAGCAUAUUAAUAAGCGGAGGAAAAGAAACUAACAAGGAUUCCCUCAGUAACGGCGAGUGAAGCGGGAAGAGCUCAAAUUUGAAAUCUUGAAAGGUCACCUUUCACGAAUUGUAGUUUAAAGAAGUGUUUUCUGAUACGAUCGUAAUAUAAGUUCUUUGGAAUAGGACAUCACAGAGGGUGAGAAUCCCGUCUAUGAUUGCGAUUUGUAGCUUUGUGAUACACUUUCAAAGAGUCGGGUUGUUUGGGAAUGCAGCCCAAAACGGGAGGUAAAUUUCUUCUAAGGCUAAAUAUUGGCGAGAGACCGAUAGCGAACAAGUACCGUGAGGGAAAGAUGAAAAGAACUUUGAAAAGAGAGUUAAAUAGUACGUGAAAUUGUCAAAAGGGAAGCGUUUAACACCAGUGUUGUUUUCUGAAAAUCAACCUCUGUUAGCUUUAUGCAUGUUUGUUUAGACCUAAUCAGCUAUCUUGCAUGUUCUAUUGUUUGCAGUGGUGCACUUUUCAGUUUACAGGUCAACAUCAGUUUCUUUUGUUGUAAAAGGGUCAUUGGAAGGUGGCUUUCUUUUCGGAGAAGGUGUUUAUAGCCUUUGGCCUCUGCAAUCGGAGAGACUGAGGUCUGCAGCGUAGACUCUUCGGGGUUAGAUACAUUUGUGCUAAGUUAUAGCUUUUUAUAGACAACUUGUUGACUAUAAUUAGUCUUGUAGCUUACUCGCUUAUGCUAUUUUACCUACGCUUAGGAUGUUGAGUAGCGACAUACGCA
rnacentral:rRNA from 1 species